rnacentral:rRNA from 1 species
CCUACGGGUGGCAGCAGUGGGGAAUAUUGGGCAAUGUGCGCAAGCCUGACCCAGCAACGCCGCGUGAAGGAAGAAGGCCUUCGGGUUGUAAACUUCUUUUCUCAGGGACGCAGAAAGUGACGGUACCUGAGGUAUAAGCCACGGCUAACUACGUGCCAGCAGCCGCGGUAAUACGUAGGUGGCAAGCGUUAUCCGGAUUUAAUGGGUGUAAAGGGCGUGUAGGUGGGAGGGGAAGUCAGAUGUGAAAACUCAGGGGCCAACCCUGAGCCUGCAGUUGAAACUGUGUUUCUUGAGUGCUGGAGAGGCAAUCGGAAUUCGGGGUGGAGCGGUGAAAUGCGUAGAUAUACGGAGGAACACCAGUGGCGAAGGCAGAUUGCUGGACAGUAACUGACGCUGAGGCGCGAAAGCGUGGGGAGCAAACAGUAUUAGAUACCCGAGUAGUC